rnacentral:rRNA from 1 species
UACACAAUGAAUAUAAAAUUAAAAACGAUUAAAGGAAUGUACGUUCGUUAUUAAUUUGAAUUCUAUUGGACUCUUUUGAGGAUAAGCUCGAAAGUUGUUGUUGAGGGCUAUAUGAUUUAAAAUUGCUGUGUGGGCCUAAAAUUAGCCAUCACAAGAGUUUGUUAUAAAAUAAUAAAAAGACGUAAAAACAUCAUUAUAUAAAGCACCACAUAAAACUAUAAGGAUAAUAAUCUGAACUAAAAGAUUUAAUACACCUAUGCUAGGAUGAGUAUUAUAGACCGCCUGAAUCGAACAAAUAAUAUUUCCAGAAAAAAGAUCUUUUAUGUGAAUUAAAGAGAAGGAAUUCGGCAAAUAUUGUUUCGCCUGUUUAUCAAAAACAUGGCUCUUUGAAAGUAAACAUAUAAAGAGUCGAACCUGCCCAGUGAGUAAUUUUAACGGCCGCGGUACCCUGACCGUGCAAAGGUAGCAUAAUCAUUUGCCUUAUAAUUGAAGGCUGGCAUGAAUGGUCUGACGAGAGCAAUACUGUCUCCUCUUUAUUAUCUAAAAAUUAACCUAUAGGUGAAGAGGCCUAUAUAAAAUUGAAGGACAAGAAGACCCUGUCGAGCUUAAAAGAAAAGUAGAGGUUAGUUAUCAAAAGAGAUCAAUAAACUAUACAUAGCUUUUUAGUUGGGGCGACUAAGGAACAAAUAAAGCUUCUUUUAUUUUUAUAGAUUUAUGGAUUCGGAUCCAGCAAAGCUGAUCAGAAAAAUUAGUUACCGCAGGGAUAACAGCAUAAUCUCCUUUGAGAGACCUAAUCGAAAAGGGGGGUUGUGACCUCGAUGUUGGACUAGAAUAUCCUGAAGAUGCAGACGUCU